rnacentral:rRNA from 1 species
GAUGAACGCUGGCGGCGUGCCUAAUACAUGCAAGUCGAGCGAACAGAUAAGGAGCUUGCUCCUUUGACGUUAGCGGCGGACGGGUGAGUAACACGUGGGUAACCUACCUAUAAGACUGGGAUAACUUCGGGAAACCGGAGCUAAUACCGGAUAACAUUUGGAACCGCAUGGUUCUAAAGUGAAAGAUGGUUUUGCUAUCACUUAUAGAUGGACCCGCGCCGUAUUAGCUAGUUGGUAAGGUAACGGCUUACCAAGGCGACGAUACGUAGCCGACCUGAGAGAGUGAUCGGCCACACUGGAACUGAGACACGGUCCAGACUCCUACGGGAGGCAGCAGUAGGGAAUCUUCCGCAAAGGGCGAAAGCCUGACGGAGCAACGCCGCGUGAGUGAUGAAGGGUUUCGGCUCGUAAAACUCUGUUAUUAGGGAAGAACAAACGUGUAAGUAACUGUGCACGUCUUGACGGUACCUAAUCAGAAAGCCACGGCUAACUACGUG